CAGUCGAGCGGACAGAUGGGAGCUUGCUCCCUGAUGUUAGCGGCGGACGGGUGAGUAACACGUGGGUAACCUGCCUGUAAGACUGGGAUAACUCCGGGAAACCGGGGCUAAUACCGGAUGGUUGUUUGAACCGCAUGGUUCAAACAUAAAAGGUGGCUUCGGCUACCACUUACAGAUGGACCCGCGGCGCAUUAGCUAGUUGGUGAGGUAACGGCUCACCAAGGCAACGAUGCGUAGCCGACCUGAGAGGGUGAUCGGCCACACUGGGACUGAGACACGGCCCAGACUCCUACGGGAGGCAGCAGUAGGGAAUCUUCCGCAAUGGACGAAAGUCUGACGGAGCAACGCCGCGUGAGUGAUGAAGGUUUUCGGAUCGUAAAGCUCUGUUGUUAGGGAAGAACAAGUACCGUUCGAAUAGGGCGGUACCUUGACGGUACCUAACCAGAAAGCCACGGCUAACUACGUGCCAGCAGCCGCGGUAAUACGUAGGUGGCAAGCGUUGUCCGGAAUUAUUGGGCGUAAAGGGCUCGCAGGCGGUUUCUUAAGUCUGAUGUGAAAGCCCCCGGCUCAACCGGGGAGGGUCAUUGGAAACUGGGGAACUUGAGUGCAGAAGAGGAGAGUGGAAUUCCACGUGUAGCGGUGAAAUGCGUAGAGAUGUGGAGGAACACCAGUGGCGAAGGCGACUCUCUGGUCUGUAACUGACGCUGAGGAGCGAAAGCGUGGGGAGCGAACAGGAUUAGAUACCCUGGUAGUCCACGCCGUAAACGAUGAGUGCUAAGUGUUAGGGGGUUUCCGCCCCUUAGUGCUGCAGCUAACGCAUUAAGCACUCCGCCUGGGGAGUACGGUCGCAAGACUGAAACUCAAAGGAAUUGACGGGGGCCCGCACAAGCGGUGGAGCAUGUGGUUUAAUUCGAAGCAACGCGAAAACCUUACCAAGGUCUUGACAUCCUCUGAAAAUCCUAGAGAAUAGGACGUCCCCUUCGGGGCAGAGUGACAGUGGUGCAUGGUUGUCGUCAGCUCGUGUCGUGAGAAUGUUGGGGUAAAGUCCCGCAACGAGCGCAACCCUGGAUCUAGGUUGCCAAGCAUUCA
rnacentral:rRNA from 2 species